UGGAGCCAGGGGCAUGGCCUGGGUCAGCUGUGAGAGUGGACCAGCAGAUGGAGCGAGAAAACAAGAAAUAAGUCUACAGUUUCAACUGGGUGCAGGGGCAAGAAAUACCAGGAAUGCAGCUUACAGGAAAGAAGUCACCCUUUUCCCGUUUCUCUUCUCUGUGAGCCUAAACUCCUUGGGACCGCUAAGCAUACACCAUCCCCAGAGCAUCUCGGUGUGUGCAUUGUCUGAAAUGCGUGGUUUCUAAAGACAUAGGAAGUUGUGAUAUAGCAAGAUGGAGACAAACCCCUCGUGCUUCUGAUGGUGCAAACAGUGCAACUCACAAACCUCCCCUAAAAUUUAAGAAGAAAAGCUACAGAGA